rnacentral:rRNA from 1 species
UCCUUCCUUGGGAUCCGUGCCGUAGCUAACGCAUUAAGUACCCCGCCUGGGGAGUACGGCCGCAAGGCUAAAACUCAAAGAAAUUGACGGGGGCCCGCACAAGCGGCGUAGCAUGUGGAUUAAUUCGAUGCAACGCGAAGAACCUUACCUGGGUUUGACAUGCACAGGACGACGGCAGAGAUGUCGUUUCCCUUGUGGCCUGUGUGCAGGUGGUGCAUGGCUGUCGUCAGCUCGUGUCGUGAGAUGUUGGGUUAAGUCCCGCAACGAGCGCAACCCUUGUCUCAUGUUGCCAGCGGGUAAUGCCGGGGACUCGUGAGAGACUGCCGGGGUCAACUCGGAGGAAGGUGGGGAUGACGUCAAGUCAUCAUGCCCCUUAUGUCCAGGGCUUCACACAUGCUACAAUGGCCGGUACAAAGGGCUGCGAAGCCGUGAGGUGGAGCGAAUCCUUUAGAGCCGGUCUCAGUUCGGAUCGGGGUCUGCAACUCGACCCCGUGAAGUCGGAGUCGCUAGUAAUCGCAGAUCAGCAACGCUGCGGUGAAUACGUUCCCGGGCCUUGUACACACCGCCCGUCACGUCAUGAAAGUCGGUAACACCCGAAGCCGGGGCCUAACCGUAAGGGAG